rnacentral:lncRNA from 1 species
GCCGUCAGCACCGCGGACAGCUCCGGGCGUGCGGCGGCGCCGGGACGGCGACCCCAGCACCUCCCCCGCGCCCGGUCCCUACCUGUCGUCGUUCUGGAAGGACGGGUCGCCCAGCAGCAGGUCCCGGAAGCGGUAGCGCGGCGGCAAGGGCAGCACCUCGGAGUCCAGGAAGAGUGUGAAGAUGUAACCAGACAGCAUGCCUGAGGCACGCGGAACAGGGCCUGCAGGUGAGUGCUUCAGCUACAGCAGGUGUAGCGUGGCCAGCAGUUUGGCUGAGCUCUUAUGGACAAAGGCUAUGACCCAGGGUGGCCGGCGCCCAGCAUGCCCCCUCCGCCCAGCUGAGGCCCAUCAGAGAGCUCAGGCUUGGGACACUGACUUUUGGAAUCCAUCUGGAGAGGCCAAGAAUGAGCGAGGCAGUCCACACCUGGGCACGGCAACAGGAAGUCCCUGUCAGCUGUUUGGUGCACACGUAGUCACGUGCACUGACCCUGACAACCCCGUCAGAGGGGAGCCCGGCAGCUGUGCUCAGUGCCAGCUGCCAUGGACUGAGAGCCAGCUGCACGCCAGGCACCCUGGCAAGCCAGGUGGUGGCAUGGAAUCCUGAGAACAGUUCUCAGAAGCCAGUCUCCAUCCCUAGUUCCUGGCAAGGACAAGUGGCUCCCAGAGCCCAAGGAGCGUCACUGAGGUCCUGGCAGAGGCACUGGGGUGGGGGCCAGGUCCAGGUUCACCUCGGGCUGUGCUGCCUUUGGCCAGCUGGGGGGCUCUUCUGAUAGCCGGGAGUGCCUGCUUCUCACUCCCCCUGCAUCUGUUCCCGGUGGCCAUGGAGCCAGGGCUGUCUGACAAAGUGCUUAAAGACAAGCUUCUCCCACCAAAGGCUCUGGGCAUUCCCAUUCCAGUUGGGAAUGUGAGGCUGCCCUUGCCAUCAUAAAGGAGGCCUCAUCUGUGCACUGCUGCGAGAAAAAGGAUAAAAGCAAGGAGUCAUGAAGGGGGCUCUGUUUGGAGUUGGCAUGAUUGCUUACUGGAAAACCCAAGAGGAAUCAACUGAAAACCUACUAGAGCAAAUACGGAACCUAGUACGGCGGCCAACCCAGGAGCACCACGGAGAGCAGGAGCAGAGAGCCACCGGGAGAAAGCCCUGCUCACAGCAGGCGCGGGAGCCCCAAACCCACAGGGGCGCACGGCGUUCCCGAGAGAUGGACUGGAAGCUGUCGCUGGCGGAAGACGGAGGUCUUCUUCCUGAGGGUCUAACAGUCCCUUCUCCAAACACACGGGUAAAGGGAAUCGCCGCCAAUCAAGAGCGCAUCACUAUUUUCUCAGAAUUUGAUGAACUGUUUCAAAAAUUAAUCCUGAAGACUAUACUUGCAAGAACAGCCACAGCAGUUGUGAAAAGGAACAGAGAGGGCCCUCGUCUUCUGCUGCCAGCACCAAUGUCCAGCCACAGCAGCUGACACUCUGCGGUCUGGCCCAAGAAAAGACAGAGAGUGGGGAGACACAGCAGAGUGCCUUGACCAGCUGAAGCCCACGUUGGAAUCCAGGCUUGAGAAAGGAGGCGGGGGGCACUCCUCGUCCUAUGGUAUUGGAACGAGUGCAGCUCCACCUGUCCUGACUCAAGUCACGGUUGCAAAUAUCAGGAGGGGCGACAUCCUUCCCAUUGUGUUGAUGGAGAAAUGGAGGCCGGAGAACUUCAGAAACGCACUUGACCUUGUUCCUUAUUUGUCCUUGUUUAUCACUUGUCCCCUUGCCUUGGGAGGGCCAGUGCUUGAACCCAGUACCUGGCUCCAGCCUAUGCUAUGCAGUGUCUUCUGUUGGAUAAAAUAAGAUUAGACCCCAUGCUGCAGCCCCAAACCAAGGACAAGAUGGAAAAAAAAUACAGGGAAAAGUGUUCAGAGCUGAGAAGGCCUUUUAUUUAAUACACAAAACCCAAAAAUCAUCUAUUCCAAGAGGAAUAGAUUUAUAAAGGCUUCUACAUCUGAACAAAACACUGCUGUUCAACAAAAGACAUCACUGGCAAAAGGAAAGAAUAAGCGACCAACAGGAAGAACAUAUUUGCAACAGAAUAAUCAUCGGAACACAGCCUGGUGCCUACAGGUCCCGUGGAAAGGAAAACAAUCUAGCAGAAAACAUGGCCGGGUGCAGUGGCUCAAGCCUGUCAUCCCAGCACUUUGGGAGGCCAAGGUGGGUGGAUCACCUGAGGUCAGGAGUUUGAGACCAGCCUGGCUAACAUGGUGAAACCCCAUCUCUACUAAAAAUACAAAAAUUAGCUGGUUGUGGUGGCACACACCUAUAAUCCCAGCUACUCGGGAGGCUGAGGCAGGAGAAUUGUUGGAACCCAGGAGGCGGAGGUUGCAGUGAGCUGAGAUCGCACCACUGCACUCCAGCCUGGGUGACAGAGCGAGACUCCGUCUCAAAAAAGAAAACGACUCAAAGGAUGGAUGAGUGAGGUUCAAAGAAGAGGAACGGAAAACAACGCACAAGUAAAGACAAGCCACCUAGCUAAUAAUUAGAGAGAUGCAGAGUUGGACGGUCUCCUGCGCCAGUGAUCGGCUGUGGUUACAGAACAGGGGGUUCUGCAAGCCAGGGCUCUCGUGUAGUGUCCAGCCGACUGGGAGCAGUGGAUUAAUUAUGAUGGAAUCAUGGGUCCUCUCCAACUUGGAACCUCUACCUGGGGACAUUUUUGAUCUGUGUCCGAGGAGGCCCAGGCAUGGAUUUUCAUCAUGGCCUCAUGUGUGAAGGUGAACACUGAAAACAGCCUGCACGUCCCUGAACUGAGGAGCGACUGACAGCUACAGCCAAGACUGCUCUGUGAAGGCACAGGUCUCUGUGAGCCUGCGUGAGCCCGCGUGGAUGCAUCACUACACAAACAGAAUGACAUAUAAUGAACCCCAUUUAAAAACUAAACACGACCGCUUUCCACAGAACCCUAAAGAAGAGGUGGGUUUCUCGGGGCACCCAGCUUGUAGGUGAUAUAGAGACUGUCCCCACACACUGGCAGCCACAGUGCUGGGGGCAGGGUGGGGUUCUAGGGCAGCGUCUCACCCAUUGUGCUUUGCAAAGUGAAUACAUCAUGCACGACGUGUGUUAUGGCAAACGGAACAGCUAAGGGCUAAAGAUGUCCUUCCCUAAACUCCAGCAUCACCAGGCCCUUAUUUCUGCCCCGGGUGGGGCUCAGAAAGAAGCAAGGAGCCUGCCUCUCAGGAUCAGCAUAGGAAGUCCUGGAUAAAAUGUCCUUUCCCGCAAAGACUUCUCUUAACAUUGCUUGUGGUCCAGCAUGGUGCCUCACGCCUGUAAUUCCAGCACUCUGGGAGCCCGAGGUAGGCAGAUCACUUGAGCCCAGGAGUUCCUGACCACCCUGGGCAACAUGGCAAAAACCUUGCUUUACAAAAAAUAACAAAAGUUAUCCAGGCAUGGUGCCUGUAGUUCCAGCUACUCAGGAGGCUGAAGUGGGAGGAUCAUUUAAGCCCAUGAGGUUGAGGCUGCGGUGAGCCAUGACUGCGCCACUGCACUCCAGCUUGGGUGACAGAGCUAGAUUCUGUCUGAAACAACAACAACAACAAAAGAUUGUGACUGUCUUUGGCUAAGGGAAUGAGGUUUCUCUCCUAAAAUACAUUCUUGUUCACACUCAGUUCAAAAUUUCCAGGAGCUGGGCGAGCCAUGUUUGACAGAGAAGUUAGGGAGGAGGGAGAUGAGCACAUGUAAGCACGUAAAUACGCACAUGCAUGCUGAUGUGUGUGUAAAUGAGCAUGUAUGUGCAUGCAGAGGCAUGUGUACGAAUAUGUGCAUGCAUGUGUGGAUGGGAUUGCAUGCAUGCAUGUAUAAUGUGCAUGUAUGCAUACAUGUACAUGGGCAUAUGUAUACAUGUGCACAUGUGGACAUGUGUGCAUGCACAUGGAUCUGUGUGCAUGUGCCUGUAUGUGUGUGGGCAUCCCUACCCUGCAUCCAGGAGAGUCCCCCAGGCAGGCAUAGCAUCACUGUGGUGGGGGCGUCUGAGUGCUGGGCUUAGUGUCCAGCAAGUGCAAAGCUGCAGAACCUCUCUGCUGACCAUGGCAGAAAACUCAACGCUUCCUUUGCACAAUGAUUAAAAAGUCAGAGCUGCUCGAGAUGCCCAGGCAGCUGGGCAGGCAAGCGUCCUCGGUGACGUCUCUCUUUAGGGGAGGGGCUUCUUGCCCAUGCGAGGGUGGCUGCUCAGCACCAUCUCCUGAGAUGCUUUAGGAUCCAAAGUGAAAGCUCAGAACACAUGGAGGAGCCGAAAUCAAGCUGCAGAUUUAUCCAGACAGACUUCAGAGCAGCUUUCUCCCAGCCCGGCGGGAAGAGGGGAAGGCCAGCAGCACAGUGGACACAGGGGCCCCAGGCGAGGCUGUGGGGGCCAUCACCCCUGGACCCGUGCCCAAGGUUGUCGGGGGAGGCAGAAGCCUGGGCUUGGGCCAGACGCCAGGCGAGCUCUUCUGCUGUCCCCACCCCCUGCAGCAGGCAGCAGUGUGCUGGUCACUCAGGGCCAGAUGGCAAGUCCAUCUCAGGGUCCUGGGUGCCCAGGACCCUUGGCUGGUCCUUCUCACAGGCCACACCCUGUUCUCCAGCUGCAUCGGCUCACAGCCCCUGCCCCCGGCCACGCUGUGGCUGCUGGGAGAUGCUUGGUGACUGCACACGUCAGCUGUCAGUACCCUCGAGCUGAGCUGGCUGCUGGGGGCAAUGGUGAUCAUAGCAAGGAGCACAGCCUGGAGCCGGCAGGGGACCCUUGGGGACAGCCCUGCUAGGGUGGACAGCCUGAGGGUGGGGAGGCCGUGGUGGGGGCUGCACCUGAAGAAGAAGCCGCCCCUCUCCCACAGCUAUGGGAGGCACCACCAUGCC